ACUUUUCUCUCGCUCGUCGUCAUCGUUAUGACUUAUGAGUUACGGCAUAAUCCGCCGAUGAAGAUUCACGCUCGUGUUCGUCGAGCUUCCGAUCAGGGCUUAGAGCGUUAUCAUCGGAUUAAUCGUUUUUCGGGUUGAUAUGCUGCUUGAUUAGGUACGCCCACCACUUGUUCGACGAAAUUCUUAGACAAGCUUUCUUCGAUCACAGCGAAUCCAUCUGAAAUGUUAGAUGAUUGAAGAAUUACGUGGAAUUUGGAGAAUCUUACAUAAAAAGUGAUAUUCCGUGGCCAGCGGCUUAUUCUUUGUGAAUUCGGCGGCCUUCAAAACAUGAUGAUCUGCCCUAUAUGAAGUUUACUAAUCAAAGAGAUUGAUUGACUGGACGGGAAACAGCGCUUACACAACAUGACAGUCCUCCCUAUAGCAUACAAAACAUGACGGUCCUCCCUUUAUGACGAUAACUGGUUAGAAAUAUUUGACUGUACGUGAAGCAGCGGUAUAAAAAGCUCAAUCUUGAUGAAUCUGGCAGCUCACAGAUUGUGACGUUUACUGGUUAAAAGGACGUGUAGAUUGGACGCAAAACAGCGUUGACUCUUAGAGAAAUUGGCAGCAUUCAGCUAGCGAUGUUCUGCGAUUAAUCCACUAUCCAGAAAGUGUUCUUGCUGCACAUGUGAGUCAGCGGACGUGAAAGCUAAGUUAUAUUUCCGGAGCACCUGGCAGCAUAAAAAGGUGUUUUCGUUCGGCAAAUGUGAGUCACCGGAUGUGAAAGCAAAGGAACUUCGUGGAUCUACUUCUGUAGGUUGAAACUUGAGCACUUAAAUCGCUGAAAGUCUUGAUGGGGUCACUGUAUAGAUGCUCUUUGGCAGAUGUUUUUCGUGCUGCAAGUUCCUGCAUGUUCUUGCUCAAGCUUCUCUUCCUGGAGCUGGAGUUCUUUGUCCUGCUGCUCAUUGUAUUUUUGGCUAACAUUUUGAUAUGAGAAAUUGGAGAUUUGGAGAACUUCUCAGAUUCUCAUUUUGUGGAAAAGUGUUCUUGUUAUAAAGGAAGCUGAAUAUUAAAAGUAAUGAUCAAAAGUUACUGAAUCAAUGGCCAAAAUGCCAUAAUUUGGAAAAGAAAAAUCUUAGGUGUCAUAACUGAGUUGGAU